GGGGUAUUCAUGGCUCUCAUGCACCUGGGUGCGAGCUGCUGGGAGGAGUGUGUAUCUGUGUUAGGUGGGAACUGCUGGGAAGAGUGUGUAUCUGUGUUAGGUGGGAACUGGGAGCUGCUGGGAAGAGUGUAUAUCUGUGUUAGGUGGGAACUGGGAGCUGCUGGGAAGAGUGUGUAUCUGUGUUAGGUGGGAACUGGGAGCUGCUGGGAGGAGUGUGUAUCUGUGUGUUAGAUGGGAACUGUGCUGUACCAUAGAGCAUCCUUGGGUUUUGGAGUUGUGUGUGUUGAGUUUGUAAUUUUUUUGAGUGUGCUUGCAUUUGAUAAGUGUCUGUAUGUCUGUUUUUCCUAAAUAUAUGUUUGUAUGAUUGCAAAGUGUGAGUUUUUAAAAUGUAUCUUUUUUUAAAAAAUUAUUUUAUGUACAUGAGUGCUUUGUCUGCAUGUAUGUCUUUAUACAAGAAGAGGGCAUCAAAUCCCACAAUAAAUGAUUGUGAUCCACCAUGUUGUUGCUGGGAGAUGAACUCCAGACCUCUGGAAGAGCAGUCAGUGUUCUUAGCUGCUGAGCCAUCUCUCCAGCCUGAGUGUGUGUGUGUGUGUUUGUUUAUGCACAUUAUGUGUGUCUGUUUGCCAGAUAUUUGCAAAUAUUCAUGUAUGUUGUUUGUGAUUCUCUUUGCUAAUUAUGUGUGUGUGGUUUUCUUUUUUAUAUUUUACUACUUGAAAUCAGGUGUGUCUGUCUGUCUGUCUGUCUCUGUGGAUAUGAGUGAAGUUGCCCUGUGAGGUCAUAGUCCUCUGAUCAGAUCCCCUGGAGCUGCCUGACAGGGGUGCUGGGAACCGAACUUGGGUCCUCUGCAUGGGUGGUAUGUUCUCUUAACCACUGAGCAAUCUCCCCGACCCAUUAUGCACACUUUUGGAGACUAGGUGGGUCUCUGUUUCAGGAGUAUGUACACAUUAUGUGUGAAUACUUGCUCGUGUCUGUGUUAGAAGAAUAUGUAUGUGUAAGGAUAUGCAGUGUUUGUGAAUGUAUUUGUAGAAUAUGUGCGUACACAACAGUGUGUGUAGAGCACUGUUUCUGCUUUUACUCAUAUGUCAUAUGCGUGUUUUUAGAGAUAUCCAUCCAUCCUUAUAGAAUAUUUAUAGCGCCACCAGAAAUGUGUCUCCCUCCUAUCUUACAGUGGGGCAGGCAUUUUAAAGACUUACUUUAAUUAUUUAAUAAAGAUAAUUAUUUAAUUA